UCUUUCUCACAGUUUAAAUCUUUAUUACAUCACAGGUCAUAAUUAAACUAAAUAACAGAAUGCAUAUAUUAUAAACGAUUUUGUAUAAAACUUUUCUUAUAUUUUGAACACAAUGAUCGAGCGAGGAGAGAACUCACUGCAGCCUGCAAGUAUUAUCUUCAGAGCUAAGAGUGCAAAAUGGCCAUCUUUUCAUGUUGUAGCCUUUGAUUCUUCUAAGGAGCUCCAAUAUCUAUUUAUCAACAAUACGGUAUCAGCUUCCACGGCGUAGCCAUCUUGAUUGCGAUGCCAACUGAAAUAGGCAUGAGUCCUGUUCUUUAUAUCAAGAAGACCAUGUCCAAAGCUGGCUUCACGGAAAGCUGAGUAGCUUGGCUGUGGUUCUGUCAUUUCGGUCACCAGUCCUUCUAGAUUUCCUCCAUCUCCAAUGGUUAUGUAAAUUGGAGCCGAUUGAUCACCUAUGGGAGUGCACAAUCCAUUUACGACAUUGUAUGCAAUAUUCGAUACUCGUUCAGAUCGUUCAUAGGCAUGAACAUGACCAGCGAAGACGACAUCAACUUUGUACUCCACAAACCAAGCCUCAUACAUCACUCUCAUGGUUUCCCCUUCCAUAUAAUGAUGUGCAUAACUGUUGUACAUUGGACAAUGCAUAAGAACAAUAAGCCAUGGUGUCUCGGUCCUAUUCACUUUAGGCAGCUCUUGUUCUAGCCAUUUGUACUGAGGAGUGUAUUUCCCAAAUGCUGAGUAAGAGGACAUGACAAUGAUGUAUGCUGAAGCUCUCUUGAUGGAAUACCAAAGAGGAGAGGUGCUUCCAGAUGCAGUGUAUGGGACAUGAUAUCUGUGCAAAUAAGGCUUAAAGGGGAUAGGUUCACCAAAUUGAGGAGCAAAAUCAAGUUCAUGAUUCCCAGCAGUCCAAAUCCAAGGCUGAUAGGCAGCAUUUCUUUCUAUGAACCUUCCCCAAGUAUCCCACCUUACAUUGUCAUGAAAUGGAUAAUCAUCUGCAUAGGAAAGGUCUCCAACAAACAAUAAUGUCUGUCCCUUUAUUGGGUUUAACUCAUAAUGGGUAAGCGUUCGAUUUGAGUCAUGGGUUUGCCCAAGAUCCCCUGCUCAAAAUGCUAGAUGCAGUAAGACCAUUAAACCUUACAGAUACUGACUUAAGCAUGCAUGUGUCUAGUUAAACGAAGAAGCCAAGACUACCUAUAAGGCCAAAAGUAUAAGGAACAUCUGGGCCAGAUUUAGGAGGGGUUAUAAACCAGAAUUGCCUAGUUGCUUUCCCAGUACCAACGUCAUAGUAAUAUUUAGUAUCAAACUGCAAAUAAUAAAAUAAAUCUAAUUAAUUUUGCUUCAUAUAUCAUAGAACUCACAAAGCCAAAAAGUGAUGAUCAAUAGUGAAACUCCAAGCACACACCUCCAAAUCCUUAAUGGUGCAGUGAUGAAUGUAACCAGAAGUGUAAUUGAAGUACUUGUACUUAACAACUACACCAUCUGCACGAUUCUUGAGCUCACUAUUUUCAGCCCAGUAAAGCAGUGUUCUUGGACCGGGUUCAUCUGGAGUGACCCAAGAGACAAUCACACUGUUUGCUUCAUAAUCUCCUUGUGUUAUAUGAACCUUUGAUCACAAGAAGUUACACUUAAGAAUCAAAAAUCAAGAACCCAAACCCACCCUGAAAUGAAGUCCAGAAAAAUGAAAAUUUGGGGAAAGUAAAAACCGUACAGUAGCCUAAUUGUUCUGCUGAAAACAAGUUUAUCACUAAUCUACAAUUAAACAGAGUUUUCCGUUUAAUUAACAGUAUAUAAAGAAACUAUAAGAUGGAAGAAAUGAAACAGAGACAUACGCACCUGUUGAGGAGCAUUAUAACCAGGAGGUACUUUAAAGACAUCGCUAUCUAAAGGCAUAUCAAGAGACAAGUCAUCGUUUCUUACAAAAGUGCUUGUCCUUCCACCAUUAGACAUCUCUGCAAAACUUACAACAAGAACAAGAACAAGAAAAAGAGCAGAGUCCCACCUUACUCCCAUCUCUACCUUACAAUCCACAAAAAAUUCCCCGGCUUCUAAAGCUUCACAAAAUAAUAUCCGUAACAAUACACGUCGGCUAUCUGUCAGUCAGAGGACGCACACGGUAAGCCAUUUGGCCUCUAUUAUUG
rnacentral:misc_RNA from 1 species